rnacentral:lncRNA from 1 species
GAAAUCAGAAAAGGCUGAAGAAUACACAUGUAGGAGAAGAGCAUGAGCAAAGGUGACAAAUGCUACUACUUUUAGGUCAAUAUGAUGGCAAUUUGACAACACAAAGGUCAUUGGUGUAAUGUCUGGGACCAAUCUGAUUGGACCUGCUUUAAGAGGGAAUGGAAAGAGAGAAGAUGAGGAUAGAAAAGUCACUCAAGAUUUGUUGCUACAACAUGAGAGCAAAGUAACUGGGUAAUAACAGCAAGUAGGUAAAGUGUAUUCAAGAGAAACUGUACAUUUUAUUUUAUUUUAUUUUAUACUUAGAUUGGGAGAAACAGCCUAUUUGUAAUCUAAUGAAAAUGACCCAAUGGAUGACAAAAAUUUGAACGCGUAUGUGAGACAGGAAAGAAUUACAAGAGCAAAGUUCUUGAGGAGAAAAAAAAUGGGAUGAAAUUUAAUGCACAGAGAGAUUGGUUUUACAUAAGAAUAAGAAAAAUUAAUCUUCAAGGCAUAAAAUCAGGUGCAAAUGCUGUAGGUGUGUAGAGAUGUGAUAGGAGUAGGUGGAAAUUGUGUUCUUGCAGUCUCUGCUCCUCAUUUCACCUUGUUCGUAUAUUUUUCUUGACUUGAUGUUCUAACUUUUGGUGUAGUAAACUUCAACAGUAUUUUCCUAUAGAAUUUGUAAUUCUUAUACUUUUCAUUAAAAAGGCUUUCUUUGAUAAGAUGAAGAUGUUUCCUUCAUAUGAUUAAGGCUUGAUAUGAUUAAGAUUUUUCCUUAUUUUUUAUUAUAGAAGUUUUGCUUUUAUAUUCAGUCCUCUAUUUGACCCAAUUAUAUUGAGAAUAAAAAUUAUAAAAAUAGGAGAAAUAAAGUAUUUUAAUUCUAACUUCAAAAUUUAAAGAUAUAUUUGGGAAUAAUUAACAUAUUAAUACUUUGUAUCCUAACAAUUAAUCGUAGUAAGUCUUUCCAUUUAUUUUGGCUUAAUUUUAAAAGUAAAUUCCUGCAAAUAUUUUGUUAAAGUUUUUUAAGUAUGCAAGUGUCUAUUAAUACUGUAAAUGGUAUAUUUUUACAUGUAUUUUAAAUAUCUGAUUAAAUGUACCAAAGAUGGAAGAGUACAAUUUUUAAAAAUUAUUUUUAACCAACUACUUUCUUUAAACCUCCUAUCUUUUUCCUCUUGAAUGACUCCAAAGACAGAAGCCUUCACUUUCAGAGUACUUUCAGUUGAAGAAAUAAAUUUUAUUUCUCAGUAAUUACAAUUGCUUUUAGGUACUAAAUUGAUGCAUCCAUUAGAGUCCAAUUUAGAAUUUAUGAACUAUUUAUUUCCCUAGCUCACAGAUGAAGACCUUAUGUAAUACUUAAUUUGAAUUGUCAACUUGAUUGCAUUAAGAGAUGCCGAUGAUUAAGUGGCUUAUGGGUAUGUGAAGGAAGGUGUGUCUAGGAAUGAUGGGCACCUGGGAUAGCAACUGAAAUGGAGACCCUCUCUAAGCCUGGGCAGCACUAUCCAAUAGGAAAAUCGCUUGGAUGGAAUAAAAAUUGGAAAACCAAGAAAGAAGCAGCAGAUGCAAGCUUGAUUAUUCUUGAAUGUGUUCUUGAUUGCCACUGCAGCAAUCGUCUAAGGAUAUUGGAUUCUCCCUUCUUCACUCUUCCAAAGUGGACUCUUUGACUGCAAUUCUCCAGAAACCUUCAGUCUCAGACUAGGGUAGCACCUUGAUUGCUCUUGUUCUAGGCUUCAACCUCUUGGACUGCACCACUACUGGUUCUUCCUGCUCUCCAACCUGCAGACAGCCACUGUGGACUACCCAGCUUGUAGUCAUGUAAGCCAAAUCCCCUAUUUAUAAUUAUAUUUCCUACUGAUUCUGUUCCUCUAGAGAACCCUGACUAAUACACAUGGAUUAGUAGAUUCUUUCAUUGUUCCUUCUUUUUUAUUAUUUUGCCAAUCUCUGCAACUUCGUUGCCUGUCCUUCUCCAAUUUGUGUGUUAUAUCAAGGCAAAAAUUGAACUAGGCAAAGCUAAACAUUCAAGAAAAACUUUUCCCAUGACAGAGUACAGGGAAGAGACCAAGAACUGAGUCUGAACUCAAACAUCCCUCAAACAAAGGGCUGGAGAUUUUUUAAAAGUUUAGGUGGAAGAAUGUUAGUCCACAAGUGGUUGCUAAUUAGCUUUGUCCAAAGCAAAAUCCACUUCCACUUAUUUUCCUGAUGCAUAGUUUUACAAUAGGCCCCCAUGGUAGUUAAUUCUCCCAUAGAAACUGGGAGACUAGGACUCAGUCUUCUCUAAUGAUUACAAUUUAAAAAGAUGACCCCUAGGCCCAUGAGAGAGACAUUUCUAGGAUAUGGAAACUCAGGUGGCUUUUAGAAAGAUUUACAUCUCAAAAGAACAAAGAAACAAUUUAUACUUACAAGUAUUCUAAAUUAAAUAUUUUUGGUAAAAGAGGUCUGGGGCCUAGAGUUAAGAAAAAGCCUUUCUCAAGUUCACUCAAACCAAGGGCAAUGUCAAAGCCCUCUUUGCUAUGGGUAUAUAAUCUUUCCUCUGCCUUAACCAAAAUUUCAAGUUAACAGUAAAACCCUGCUUUUCCCCUAGAAAUUUUUCUGAGAGUUUUUCUGCUGUUUAGGAAUGCAGUUGACUUUUAUUUGAGAAAAUUUGUGGAAGUCUUAUCAUAUUUUAUUAUAUAUGCUUAUAUAAUACAUUUUUAUAUUUGCAUUUAUAUUUAAAAAUGAAUAAUGUAGUUUUAAAUUUUCAAAUAUCCAUUUUAAUUUUUCUCUUUAUAUAUACUAAUUUUGCAUAUUUCUACAAAUGUGGACUCCAUACUAUUUCAUAUUAGGUAUUACACACAAGCAAAUCACAAGAGUGUUUCUUUCUGACUUUUAUCACUUUUAUUUUUUCUCAUUUUUAUUUCUCUGCUCCAAGGGCCUCCCUUACAAUAUUUAAUACAAACACCAAUGGAAAGCAUUAUUUUCUGCUGCCUGACUUAAAAGGGAAUGCUGCUAAUAUUUCACCUUUAAGUAUGAAAUCUAAUGUAAGCUUUAGGAAGAAUUCUGCCAGGAAAAGAUUUUAUCUGUAUAUGCUUAUUUUAAUAAGAGAUUUUUAUCUAAAAGUGAAUUAUAUAAAAAAUUCUCCUUGUAAUGGGUUUUUAAAUACAAUAUUUAUAAAUCAAAUGUUAAACCAAAUUAGCAAUGUUGUUGUGUACUUUCUUCUUUUAGUUUUUUAAAGCAUUUAUCAUUCAAGAUGAGCUAGAAACUCAUUGACUCUUCCAGUACUUUCUAAAUGUUAUUUUUUACACUUAAAUAUUUAAUGCCUAUAGAAUUUAAUGUUCAUGAAUGCUGUGUCAUAUGAGUAUAGUAAUUUUCCUGAUUUGCAAUGUUGUUUGAAUUGUCAGCAGCAUUUGGUAUUAUGCUAGCACUUUUUUUUUCUCAGCACUGUUCUUUAUGAUAUAAUGAUGAUGAUCAUAGACUCUGGUGCCAGAAAAAUCAGGCUCAAAAUUCAGAUUCUCUAUGCUUGGCUCUGUGUCAUUGGUGGAUAUUUAACUACUUAGUGUCUAUUUUACUUAGCUGUAAAAUCGAGGUAAGAAUAGUACUAUAGCAGGUAACAUGGUAAAGAAUCCCCAUCCCUACCCCAGAUUCUUAUCCUCCUGACUGUUCUGAUGCCAACCUAGGUACUGCUAUAAAUGGACUUUGCAGAUGAAAUUUGCUAAGAGCCACAGCCAAGAAAUAUGAUGCAUGGCAUUUUUGGUUGAAAGGUGACACCAGCAAGCCAUUGAGAUGAUAUGAUUAUGUUAAGAUCUGCAUUCAUAUGGAUAUUGGACUCCUGCUGUCCACCUUGGCCUGCUACAGGACUCCUGGAGAGUUCCCAUUGGUUGGGGAAGUGCGGUAGGAGAGAAUUCCGGAGGAGGGACUUCCUAUUGGGGCCGGGGAGAACGCCGCAUGGGUUGGUCGACAAUCUUCCCGGCAGCAUACGGGGCA